AAUUUAAAAGGAUGAAAAAGGAGAGAAAAUUCCAUGAAAAUUUUGGGAAUUUUGGGGAAAAAAAAAUUUAAUUUUUAUUUUUUUUUUUUUUUUUCUGGGAAUUUUUAGGGAAUGAGAAGGAAAAAAAAAAUUGGGAAAAUGUCCCCAAAAUGAGGGAAAAAUUCCUGGAAUUUUUAAGGGAAAAUCCUGGUAUUUUUAAGGGAAAAUUCCUGGAAUUUUUAAGGGAAAAUCCUGGAAUUUUUAAAGGGAAAAAUCCUGGAAUUUUUAAGGAAAAUCCUGGAAUUUUUAAGGGAAAAUUCCUCAAAUUUUUAAGGAAAAAUCUGGAAUUUUUAAGUGAAAUUUCCUCGAAUUUUUAAGGGAAAAUCUGGAAAUUUUAAGGGAAAAAUCCUGGAAUUUUUAAGGGAAAAUCCUGAAAUUUUAAAGUGAAAAUUCCUGGAAUUUUUAAGGAAAAAAUCCUGGAAUUUUUAAGGGAAAAUCCUGGAAUUUUUAAGGAAAAAUCCUGGAAUUUUAAAGUGAAAAUUCCUGAAAUUUUUAAGGAAAAAUCUGGAAUUUUUAAGGAAAAUCCUGGAACUUUUUAUGGAAAAUCCCUGAAAUUUCAGAGUCUCAAAAUUAAGGAAAAUUCCCCAAAAAAAUCCAGGAAAAUUCCCACAAAUUUGGGAGAAUUCGCCCCAAAAAUUCGGGAAAUUGAUCCCAAAAUUCGGGAAAAUCCCAAAUUCAGGCGGAAAAAUCCGAUUUUGGGGGUUUUGACCACCAAAAAAUGGGAUUUUGGGGUUUUUUGGGGAAUUUUUGGGUGGAUUUUGGGAAUUUUUGGGGAUUUUUGGGGAAUUUUUGGGGUUUUUUUGGGGUUUUUUUUUGUAGAUUUUGGUUUUUUUGGGAAUUUUUGGGAAUUUUUUCGGUGGAUUUUGGGAAUUUUUGGGAAUUUUUUGGGUUUUUUUGUGGAUUUUGGGGUUUUUUUGGAAUUUUUGGGUGGAUUUGGGAUUUUUUUUGUUUUUUGGGCAUUUUUGGGUGAAUUUUGGGAUAAAUUUGGGGAUUUUUGGGUCAAAUUUGGGAUUUUUGGGUCGAAUUUGGGGUUUUUUGGGACCCCGGAUCCGAUUUUGGGGUUUUUGGGGCUGAUUUUUGUUGUUUUUGGGGUGAAUUUGGGGGAUUUUGGGUUCAAUUUUGAAUUUUUGGGAGUGAAUUUUGGGAUAAAUUUUGUUGUUUUUGGGAUAAAUUUGGGGAUUUUUGGGGUAAAUUUUGUUAUUUUUGGGUCGAAUUUGGGGUUUUUUGGGUCAAAUUUGGGGAUUUUUGGGUCGAAUUUGGGGUUUUUUGGGUCGAAUUUUGUUAUUUUUGGGUCGAAUUUGGGG
rnacentral:lncRNA from 1 species